UAUGAAUAAACAAAUAAUUCAACCAACAAAACCAAGAAUGACUAACAAUCCUAACACAACCCUAACCUGUUCCAAUAACCAAAACAUAAAAGUAAACCAAACGAGUUCCUAGAUCAUCCUCUCUUCCUUGCCAUGAUACCACGAUCACACUUUAUCUUUACCUGCAUCAACAAUACAAUGAGAUGCGUAAGUAUUAUCAUAAAUAUUUAGUGAGGCGAUCCUCCCAUCUACGAGCUAUACACACAAGCAAAUAAAACGGUAUAAUCACAAAUACAACACAAACAAACCAAUCAUCGAACAAUUCACUCAAAACACAUUUACCACACCGACAUAUCAUCACACAAAACAAAACAUACAAC
rnacentral:sRNA from 1 species